rnacentral:rRNA from 1 species
UACGUAGGGGGCGAGCGUUGUCCGGAGUUACUGGGCGUAAAGCGCACGCAGGCGGUCUGCUAAGUUUGGAGUGACAGUUGGUGGCUUAACUGCCAAAGUGCUUCGAAAACUGACAGACUUGAGGGCUUCAGAGGGACACGGAAUUCCGGGUGGAGUGGUGAAAUGCGUAGAGAUCCGGAGGAACACCAAAGGCGAAGGCAGUGUCCUGGGGAGUACCUGACGCUGAGGCGCGAAAGCUAGGGGAGCGAACGGA